rnacentral:rRNA from 1 species
GACGAACGCUGGCGGCGUGCUUAACACAUGCAAGUCGAACGGAAAGGCCCUGCUUUUGUGGGGUGCUCGAGUGGCGAACGGGUGAGUAACACGUGAGUAACCUGCCCUUGACUUUGGGAUAACUUCAGGAAACUGGGGCUAAUACCGGAUAGGAGCUCCUGCUGCAUGGUGGGGGUUGGAAAGUUUCGGCGGUUGGGGAUGGACUCGCGGCUUAUCAGCUUGUUGGUGGGGUAGUGGCUUACCAAGGCUUUGACGGGUAGCCGGCCUGAGAGGGUGACCGGCCACAUUGGGACUGAGAUACGGCCCAGACGCCUACGGGAGGCAGCAGUGGGGAAUAUUGCACAAUGGGCGGAAGCCUGAUGCAGCAACGCCGCGUGCGGGAUGACGGCCUUCGAGUUGUAAACCGCUUUCGCCUGUGACGAAGCGUGAGUGACGGUAAUGGGUAAAGAAGCACCGGCUAACUACGUG